CCAUCCUCCAAGGCUAAAUACUCCUGACCGACCGAUAGUGAACCAGUACCGUGAGGGAAAGGCGAAAAGAACCCCGGAGAGGGGAGUGAAAUAGAUCCUGAAACCGUGUGCGUACAAGCAGUAGGAGCUCGCAAGAGUGACUGCGUACCUUUUGUAUAAUGGGUCAGCGACUUACUGUUCGUGGCAAGCUUAACCGUAUAGGGGAGGCGAAGGGAAACCGAGUCUGAUAAGGGCGCAUAGUCGCGGGCAGUAGACCCGAAACCGGGUGAUCUAGUCAUGGCCAGGGUGAAGGUGCCGUAACAGGUACUGGAGGCCCGAACCCACGUCUGUUGCAAAAGACGGGGAUGAGCUGUGAUUAGGAGUGAAAAGCUAAUCGAACCCGGAGAUAGCUGGUUCUCCUCGAAAGCUAUUUAGGUAGCGCCUCGGACGAAUACUACUGGGGGUAGAGCACUGUUAUGGCUAGGGGGUCAUCGCGACUUACCAAACCAUUGCAAACUCCGAAUACCAGUACGUACUAUCCGGGAGACACACGGCGGGUGCUAACGUCCGUCGUGAAAAGGGAAACAACCCAGACCCACAGCUAAGGUCCCAAAUUCACUGCUAAGUGGAAAACGAUGUGGAAAGGCACAGACAGCCAGGAGGUUGGCUUAGAAGCAGCCACCCUUUAAAGAAAGCGUAAUAGCUCACUGGUCGAGUCGGUCUGCGCGGAAGAUUUAACGGGGCUAAGCAGUGAACCGAAGCUUGGGGUGCGUAAAACUUCGGUUUUAUGCGCGGUAGAGGAGCGUUCCGUAAGCCUGCGAAGGUGGAUUGAGAAGUCUGCUGGAGGUAUCGGAAGUGCGAAUGCUGACAUGAGUAACGAUAAUGCGGGUGAAAAGCCCGCACGCCGAAAGCCCAAGGUUUCCUUGCGCAACGUUAAUCGACGCAGGGUUAGUCGGUCCCUAAGGCGAGGGCGAAAGCCGUAGUCGAUGGGAAGCAGGUUAAUAUUCCUGCACCUCGCGUGAGUGCGAUGGAGGGACGGAGAAGGUUAGGUGUACCGGGCGUUGGUUGUCCCGGGGAAAGGCGGUAGGUUUGAAUCUUUGGCAAAUCCGGGAUUCUUUAAGACCGAGCACCGAGACGAGCCUUUAUGGCGAAGUCACUGAUACCACGCUUCCAGGAAAAGCUCCUAAGCUUCAGCUCACGAAGACCGUACCGUAAACCGACACAGGUGGGUAGGAUGAGAAUUCUCAGGCGCUUGAGAGAACUCGGGUGAAGGAACUAGGCAACAUGGCACCGUAACUUCGGGAGAAGGUGCACCCUUUUUGGUGGCUCAUGCGAGCUAUAGCUGAAGAGGGUCGCAGAAACCAGGCCGCUGCGACUGUUUAUCAAAAACACAGCACUCUGCAAACACGAAAGUGGACGUAUAGGGUGUGACGCCUGCCCGGUGCUGGAAGGUUAAUUGAUGGGGUCAGCCGCAAGGCGAAGCUCUUGAUCGAAGCCCCAGUAAACGGCGGCCGUAACUAUAACGGUCCUAAGGUAGCGAAAUUCCUUGUCGGGUAAGUUCCGACCUGCACGAAUGGCGUAACGACAGCGGCGCUGUCUCCACCCGAGACUCAGUGAAAUUGAAAUCGCUGUGAAGAUGCAGCGUUCCCGUGGCAAGACGGAAAGACCCCGUGAACCUUUACUAUAGCUUUACACUGAACGUUGAGUUCGUCUGUGUAGGAUAGGUGGGAGGCUAUGAAACUGUGGCGCUAGCUGCAGUGGAGCCAUCCUUGAAAUACCACCCUGUCGUGCUUGACGUUCUAACCUAGAUCCGUUAUCCGGAUCAGGGACCGUGUAUGGUGGGUAGUUUGACUGGGGCGGUCUCCUCCUAAAGAGUAACGGAGGAGCACGAAGGUACGCUCAGCGCGGUCGGACAUCGCGCACUGUGUGCAAAGGCAUAAGCGUGCUUGACUGCAAGAUCGACGGAUCAAGCAGGUACGAAAGUAGGUCUUAGUGAUCCGGUGGUUCUGUAUGGAAGGGCCAUCGCUCAACGGAUAAAAGGUACUCCGGGGAUAACAGGCUGAUACCGCCCAAGAGUUCAUAUCGACGGCGGUGUUUGGCACCUCGAUGUCGGCUCAUCACAUCCUGGGGCUGUAGUCGGUCCCAAGGGUAUGGCUGUUCGCCAUUUAAAGUGGUACGCGAGCUGGGUUCAGAACGUCGUGAGACAGUUCGGUCCCUAUCUGCCAUGGGCGUUGGAAGUUUGAGAGGGGCUGCUCCUAGUACGAGAGGACCGGAGUGGACGAACCUCUGGUGUUCCGGUUGUCACGCCAGUGGCAUUGCCGGGUAGCUAUGUUCGGAAGCGAUAACCGCUGAAAGCAUCUAAGCGGGAAGCGCGCCUCAAGAUGAGACUUCCCGGGGCACAAGCCCCCUAAAGGAACCAUGUAGACUACGUGGUUGAUAGGUCAGGUGUGUAAGUACAGCAAUGUAUUGAGCUAACUGAUACUAAUGAUCCGUGCGGCUUGACCAU
rnacentral:rRNA from 1 species